rnacentral:miRNA from 1 species
AUAUAUAUCACUUGAGGAUCCUGUUACAAUGCAGAUUCUGUUGAAAAGGUUUGAGGUGGGGCCUGAGAUUCUGCAUUUCUAGCUAGUUUCCAGGUGAUGCCAGA